rnacentral:lncRNA from 1 species
AGUUUCUACAGGAGUUACACCAGUACUUUGUUCAGUCAAAGAAUGUGGAGGGUCCAGAGGGGCUGGGCCGGAAGCAAGCCUGUCUUGCGCUACUCCUCCAUUUCUUGGAUACCUACCAAGGACUACUGCAAGAGGAAGAAGGGGCCGGUCACAUUAUCAAGGAACUGUAUCUACUAAUUAUGAAGGAUGAGUCCCUUUACCAAGACCUCCGAGAGGACACACUGAGGCUGCACCAGCUGGUGGAGACAGUGGAGCUAAA